rnacentral:rRNA from 1 species
UACGUAGGGACCAAGCGUUGUUCGGAUUUACUGGGCGUAAAGGGCGCGUAGGCGGCAAUUCAAGUCAGCUGUGAAAUCUCCGAGCUUAACUCGGAACGGUCAGCUGAUACUGUUUUGCUAGAGUACAGAAGGGGCAAUCGGAAUUCUUGGUGUAGCGGUGAAAUGCGUAGAUAUCAAGAGGAACACCUGAGGUGAAGACGGGUUGCUGGGCUGAUACUGACGCUGAGGUGCGAAAGCUAGGGGUAGCAAACGGG